GCGGCGGCCCCGAGGACGUGGCCCUGGCGCCCUGCACCGCCGCCGCCGCCUGCGAAGCGGGCCCCUCCCCGGUCUACGUCAAGGUCAAGAGCGCGGAGCCGGCUGACUGCGCCGAGGGGCCGGUGCAGUGCAAGAACGGCCUCUUGGUCUCCAGCCCACACUGUGAAGAGCCUUGUGCCCACAGCUGUGCACAUCCUGGGCUUCCUCCACACCUUGUCCAUAAACUGCCCCUCAGCUACCUUCAGACCCAGGAUACAGACGCAGCCUCCAGAAGAAUAAAUGCUCCAUUAGCAGCUGGCUGGAGCUGGCUGAGGCUCUGGCUGGUGACUCUGGCCUCUGGUGUAGACUUCCCUCAGGUGAGUGCAUGGAUGAGAGCUCUACCUUCUCCUGACUGCCCAGGCCUCAGGACAACAGGUAAGCCAAGAGGCUCAGGCCUUCCCCUGCACUUCUUGUCCUUCUGCUGGGAGUGGCCAGGCCUGUGGUCAGUCCUUCCACCAUCUGCCUCUCUCAUGUCCUCAUGCGGAGGCAUCCCUACGUGUGGGGAUCUGUGCUCAGUGCUCAGGAGGCAUCCAGCACCCUGGGUGUCUGUGGAUUGUUAGGGAUUUUCUGGGACUGUUAGGCUGUCAGGUUGUUAUCAAUGAGGGGCAGGAGGGAUCCCAGGGUAUUUCUGAGCAUCGAAGAGAGAGGUCCAGGCUACCAACUGGUUGUGUCUUCUUUGCUGGGGGGUGGGAGCGGGGGUAGUGGCUCCCUGGUCUGGGAGCAGGACUGCAGUGAGUAUGCUGGAGCUCUGAGCUCCUGCAGUUAAGCCAACUGAAGGUGGGCGUAUGGUUGAGUGGUUAACUGCAGGUGGGCAUAUGGUUGAGUGGGUCAGCCAGCAGACAGAGCUCCGACCUCUUCAUUUUCUCUCUGGUUAGACAGAGUUUAAAUGGCUUUACCUGACUUUGGAAGACUCCUGAGGAGUCUAAGCAGGUCCAGCCAGUGGGUACAGGCUUGAAGACCAACAGGGUGGGCUGGCAGAUGAGACAGUAUCAGCAUCUCAGUCCAGGCGUCCCAGCCAGGACCACCCUAACCACCACCAGGAGGAUGGAACCAGCCCCUAGCCCUUGUGAGUGGCUCUCCCUUUUCUGUACCAUCUCAAGGGAAACCUGAAGACAAGCUACCAGCAUGAGAUGUCCUGGUGUUCAGGGAACACAGUUAAACAAAAGUGUGAUGCUGCUGUGGGAAAGCCUGCCCCAGGACACCACCAUACCAUGCUGUCUUCAGUUCCUGCCAGCUGAAGUUUUAUUCCCAGGCAAUGCUUUCUCCUUUUACCGUUUCCCGUGGGGACCUGACUGGCUGUCUUUGGGGACUGAGGUCUUACAGGCCAGGAGGUGCCUUUGAGCUCAUGCUAGGGGCUGUGUGCCUGUGAACUCACUGGAAUCCUUUGUUGACACAUUGCUUUCUUACCAGUCUGUGAGCUCUUUGAGGGCAGGGCUUGUGAUGCUACUAUUUAGUAAUUCCUGUAUCCCAGUUGGUGCUGACACAUAGUAGGUGCAUAGUAAGUGCUUACUGAAUGAAUGGAUGGGUGCAUUUCCUGUUCUACAGAUACCUGUUCAAACUUUGUUUUGUACUUUAUUUUGUUAACCCAGUUAAUGCUUCUGACAAGAAGUUCUACAGCUCCUCCCCACCCCAUCAAAGAGGAGGGCCCUUGGCCUCAAAUAGGCCAAUCAGGCUCUGUUGGUGGGGAGUUGAAUCUUCAGUGAGCAACUGGGGAAGAGAAAACAGAACAGAACUAUUUUCGGAGGCCCCGAGGCCUGCAUCCUCAAGGCUACCUGGCUUUGUCUUUUCUGAGGCUCGGUCAACAUUUUCCUUGGUUCUCUGAGUUACUCACAUCUUUCUAAUACAUUUCCUCUUUUACUUUAGUUAAAACCAGAGUUGGUUUCUGUUGCUUGCCUCCAAAGAACCCUGACUGAUAUAAGUGUUUUCCUGUUAUUUUUAAAUCUUCUAAAGUAUUGCUCUGAGAUGGUUUCUGCUUAAGCAGAUUCAUUGAAACAGUUUACUUCAUAUUUGGAUUUUUCCAUUUGUCAGAACAUUCUUCCUUGGUAGUGUGGUGCAGUAGAAGGGACUGGACUGAUUUAGAUAAUCUAAAGGUAAUUCUGACUGUGCCACUAAUUAUGUAAUUUCAGAGGAGUAACAUUCUCUUUGGAUUUCAGUUUCCACAUGAGAAAUAAAAAAACUUGAACUGAGUAACCACAGAUUUCCUUCCAGCUUUAAGAUCCUAUUAUUCAUAUGAGUCAAUAUCUGCCUUUUAGUGAUAUGCUCCAUUGGCCCCAGUUACAUGGUCUGGGCUUAUGUGAUAACCCUUCAAAUAUUUGAGAACCUAUGCUCCUGCGAGUGUUUUGUUCUAGGCCCAACAUAACCAGUUUCUGUAAUCAUUUCUCAUAUGGUAAGGUUUUUAGACUUUUCACCAUUCUGGUCAUUCUCUUCCAGACACUCCAGUUUUUCAGUGUCUUCCUGAAAGUGUGGCUUCGAGACCUGGACCUGGACUAGUCAUGCUGUGGGAGUCUCCCCACUACUUACCCGUGUGCUCAGCCUGCCCCUCCUGGCACAUAAUGUUGACUAAGGCACAGCCCAAGGGGAGGCAGCCACCAUAACUUUCCUAGAUCUAGGGAUAGUUAUUUUUUGUCAUUUUAGAGGCCCUUCCUUCAGGCUGCAUGCAGAACAGAUGCAGGUAGCCAUGAAGCCAAAUCUGGAAGGAGAUGAUGCUUCCUCUGAAGAUCAGAGAACAGAUGCAAAAACUAUUGCUCAAGGAAAAUAAAGUGAAAACGAGGAAAAGCAAAAGAAGAUCUGGAGAGGGCUCUCACCUGACCACAAGCAUCCUGGAGCAAUGAGUUUCAGGCAGGAAGACUCAUCCUGAGCUGAGCUGCUUUUCUUGAAGUUGUGCAAGAACGUCCUGUUGGCUGGGGCAAAUUCAGUAUUUCUUUUCCUGGCCACUGUGCUGGAGCGUGAGGAAAGACUCUCCACCCUCACUCCCAGAUCCUGCAGGAGGCGUGAGAGCGGAUGGAGAUGGUGAGGAUGUCUAUUAAUAUGGUGUUUCCUGCAAAACGGUGCCCAUCUCAACCAUGGGUUGUCAACCAUCCUCGGUGUCUACAACUGCAAUUUACCUUUGAGGGCCCAUGAACUCUGAUUACCUGAAAGUCCUUAGGCCAGAAAGAGAAACCCCUGUCCCCCACCUCUCACUUUCACCUAUUUCUAGACCUUUUCUUACAGCAAUGCCUUGGCCCUCAGGAAGCAUCAGAUCUCAAACUGCAGGGUCUGGGGCUGAAGCUGAUGCUGGCAUGGGUGACUCAGAGUUCCUCUAUUAGUUCAAAUAUGUAAUAUCUUUUAGAGCCUAGGACUCAGGCUGGAGGCAAUUCCUUGGUGCCAGUUGGUUAAUACUUUAUGAAUAGUGGUGGGGGAGGGAAUGCCUUGGACUAUUAAUGUCCCCAUGGAUCUGGAUCCUGGAGAACUUCCAGUGUCCUGGAUGGAAUGUUCUGCUUGGCUCAUCUUGCCCAGAGAAGAGCCAGGAUAUGAGAAGAUGGGAGAGGGAAGGGGGAGGUGUGAAACGUGCUGGUGCUUCCUGUCCUCGUGGUGUGAUGGCUGCCCAGGCUGCUCCUUCGAGGCAGGACAGGAUUCCCAUGGGAGAUAUGAGGACCAUGGUGAUUUCCAGGCACCAGUUAUGUCCCAGAGCAUCGUGUGCCUGUGCAGUGGGGUUACUGAUAGUCCAGGCAUCAGUUCAUAUUGUCCUUUAUGGCAGAUCCUGCACAAGGGGGUUCUCUGUCUCUGGACCCACUCUGUCAGCAUGGACAUCCUUUUUCUUUUUCCCUGGUAAGGACAUCAGAAAGAAAGUUACCCCUCCAGUGUUUGGAGUCUUGGAAUCCUUGGCCUGCCUGCAGGCCUCUGAAUCCUCAGUGUGUUAGCCCAAGGUCACCUUAGGUAAAGGAACAUUUCUCCUGGUCUUCCAACACCCUGGAAAGGGAGGCUCUUCAAGAAUAGGAAAUUCUUCCUAGUAUCUAACCUUGGCCUGCAACUAUGCCAUACAUUUAAUUGUAGAAGGUAUGGAAAGUUAGGACUGUGGUGGACCCAGUUAAAUCACUGGACAGAAGCCAUGAGGCAGAGCCAGAACCAGCUUCUGGACUCCCUGCAUGGAGCUUUCUACUAUCCCAGGUUGUUGGGUCCCUUCUCAGUGGCCAAAGAUGCUAUUUUAUGAGCCUUGAGGACAUGACACUAAGUGAAAAAAGCCUGGCCAAAGGGCCACAUAGUGUAUAGUUCUAUUUAUAUGAAAUGUCCAGGAAAGACAAAAGCAUAGAGGCAGAAAGCAGACUAGUGCUGUGGGAGGAAUGGGGGAUUUGGGAGGUGAUGGCUAAGGGGUUAUGGGGUUUUGGGGGAGGUAAUAGAAAUGUUUUAAAAUUGGUUGUGAAGGUGGAUGCCCAACUCUGCGAAUACACUAAAAGGCAUCGAAUUGUAUACUUUAAAUAGGUGAAUUGUAUGCUAUGUGAAUUAUAUC
ensembl:lncRNA SNHG28 small nucleolar RNA host gene 28